ACGGGGUGCAGCAGGCGCGAGAACUUCGCAAUGCGCGAAAGCGUGACGAGGUCACUCCGAGUGCCGUCCGCUGAGGAAGGCUUUUACCCAGUCUAGAACGCUGGGGGAAUAAGGAGAGGGCAAGUCUGGCGUCAGCCGCCGCGGUAAUACCAGCUCUCCGAGUGGUGUGGAUGUUUAUUGGGCCUAAAGCAUCCGUAGCUGGCUAGGUAAGUCCCCUGUUAAAUCCACCGAAUUAAUCGUUGGAUUGCGGGGGAUACUACUUGGCUAGGGGACGAGAGAGGCAGACGGUAUUUCCGGGGUAGGGGUGAAAUCCUAUAAUCCCGGGAAGACCACCAGUGGCGAAGGCUGUCUGCUAGAACGCGCCCGACGGUGAGGGAUGAAAGCUGGGGGAGCGAACCGGAUUAGAUACCCGGGUAGUCCCAGCUGUAAACGAUGCAGACUAGGUGUUUGGACGGCCACGUGCCGUUCUAGUGCCGCAGGGAAGCUGUUAAGUCUGCCGCCUGGGGAGUACGAUCGCAAGAUUGAAACUUAAAGGAAUUGGCGGGGGAGCAC
rnacentral:rRNA from 1 species